rnacentral:rRNA from 1 species
GUUUGAUCCUGGCUCAGGAUGAACGCUGGCGGCGUGCUUAACACAUGCAAGUCGAGCGAAGCGCUUAAGUUUGAUUCUUCGGAUGAAGACUUUUGUGACUGAGCGGCGGACGGGUGAGUAACGCGUGGGUAACCCGCCUCAUACAGGGGGAUAACAGUUAGAAAUGACUGCUAAUACCGCAUAAGACCACAGUAUCGCAUGGUACAGUGGUAAAAACUCCGGUGGUAUGAGAUGGACCCGCGUCUGAUUAGGUAGUUGGUGGGGUAACGGCCUACCAAGCCGACGAUCAGUAGCCGACCUGAGAGGGUGACCGGCCACAUUGGGACUGAGACACGGCCCAGACUCCUACGGGAGGCAGCAGUGGGGAAUAUUGCACAAUGGAGGAAACUCUGAUGCAGCGACGCCGCGUGAAGGAUGAAGUAUUUCGGUAUGUAAACUUCUAUCAGCAGGGAAGAAAAUGACGGUACCUGACUAAGAAGCCCCGGCUAACUACGUGCCAGCAGCCGCGGUAAUACGUAGGGGGCAAGCGUUAUCCGGAUUUACUGGGUGUAAAGGGAGCGUAGACGGCACGGCAAGCCAGAUGUGAAAGCCCGGGGCUCAACCCCGGGACUGCAUUUGGAACUGCU